AGUGAACGCUGGCGGUAGGCCUAACACAUGCAUGUCGAACGGCAGCACAGAGGAGCUUGCUCCUUGGGUGGCGAGUGGCGGACGGGUGAGGAAUACAUCGGAAUCUACUCUGUCGUGGGGGAUAACGUAGGGAAACUUACGCUAAUACCGCAUACGACCUACGGGUGAAAGCAGGGGAACUUCGGGCCUUGCGCGAUUGAAUGAGCCGAUGUCGGAUUAGCUAGUUGGCGGGGUAAAGGCCACCCAGGGCGACGAUCCGUAGCUGGUCUGAGAGGAUGAUCAGCCACACUGGAACUGAGACACGGUCCAGACUCCUACGGGAGGAAGCAGUGGGGAAUAUUGGACAAUGGGCGCAAGCCUGAUCCAGCCAUACCGCGUGGGUGAAGAAGGCCUUCGGGUUGUAAAGCCCUUUUGUUGGGAAAGAAAUCCAGCUGGCUAAUACCCGGUUGGGAUGACGGUACCCAAAGAAUAAGCACCGGCUAACUUCGUGCCAGCCGCCGCAGUAA
rnacentral:rRNA from 1 species